rnacentral:rRNA from 1 species
CAACCUGCCCACCACUUGGGGAUAACCUUGCGAAAGUAAGACUAAUACCCAAUGAUAUCUCUAGAAGACAUCUGAAAGAGAUUAAAGAUUUAUCGGUGAUGGAUGGGGAUGCGUCUGAUUAGCUUGUUGGCGGGGUAACGGCCCACCAAGGCAACGAUCAGUAGGGGUUCUGAGAGGAAGGUCCCCCACAUUGGAACUGAGACACGGUCCAAACUCCUACGGGAGGCAGCAGUGAGGAAUAUUGGUCAAUGGACGAGAGUCUGAACCAGCCAAGUAGCGUGCAGGAUGACGGCCCUAUGGGUUGUAAACUGCUUUUAUAAGGGAAUAAAGUGAGUCUCGUGAGACUUUUUGCAUGUACCUUAUGAAUAAGGACCGGCUAAUUCCGUGCCAGCAGCCGCGGUAAUACGGAAGGUCCGGGCGUUAUCCGGAUUUAUUGGGUUUAAAGGGAGCGUAGGCCGGAGAUUAAGCGUGUUGUGAAAUGUAGACGCUCAACGUCUGCACUGCAGCGCGAACUGGUUUCCUUGAGUACGCACAAAGUGGGCGGAAUUCGUGGUGUAGCGGUGAAAUGCUUAGAUAUCACGAAGAACUCCGAUUG